UACGGGGGGGGCAAGCGUUGUUCGGAAUUACUGGGCGUAAAGGGCGCGUAGGCGGCCCUCUCAGUCAGACGUGAAAUCCCCAGGCUUAACUUGGGAACUGCGUCUGAUACUGGAGGGCUUGAGUGCGGGAGAGGGACGUGGAAUUCCAGGUGUAGCGGUGAAAUGCGUAGAUAUCUGGAGGAACACCGGUGGCGAAGGCGGCAUCCUGGACCGACACUGACGCUGAGGCGCGAAAGCUAGGGGAGCAAACGGG
rnacentral:rRNA from 1 species